CCUACGGGCGGCAGCAGUGGGGAAUAUUGGACAAUGGGGGGAACCCUGAUCCAGCGACGCCGCGUGAGUGCAGAAGUAUUUCGGUAUGUAAAGCUCUAUCAGCAGGGAAGAAAGAAAUGACGGUACCUGACUAAGAAGCCCCGGCUAACUACGUGCCAGCAGCCGCGGUAAUACGUAGGGGGCAAGCGUUAUCCGGAUUUACUGGGUGUAAAGGGAGCGUAGACGGCGAUGCAAGUCUGAAGUGAAAGGCGGGGGCCCAACCCCUGGACUGCUUUUGAAACUGUAUGGCUGGAGUGCAGGGGAGGGUAGUGGAAGUCCUAGUGUAGCGGUGAAAUGCGUAGAUAUUAGGAGGAACACCAGUGGCGAAGGCGGCUUACUGGACUGUAACUGACGUUGAGGCUCGAAAGCGUGGGGAGCAAACAGGAUUAGAUACCCUUGUAGUC
rnacentral:rRNA from 1 species